UGCGCCCGAACGCGGAAGGCGCGUGGGUCUUUCGCCUGUACCUCAGCCCUACGGAACCAGAAAUUCCGCCUCGUCGCUAUAACAAAUCCUCCAGGCUUUCUCUGCAACAGUAUCUCUACAUUUCUAAUACCAUCUUGGCUUCUGCUUCUUGCAGUACCCAGUGAUCCAGAGGUCGGGAUCAUGUCCUUUUAAUGAAUUAAUGGAUGGAUGGAUGGAUGCAUGUACGGAUGAAUGAAGAUUUGUGCUACUGUGGACCAACCUCAGCUUGGUAGCGAAGCAUCCUUGCCUCUGUGUUACACCUCCAGCUGGACGUGGCCUUUUCAGAUUAUCUCAAGUGAAAUAAGAAGC